GGCACCCGCCUCGACGACAACGGAAUCGCACGCACACAUCACGCACGCACGGUAAUCGGCAGCGACCAGCAAUGGCAAAAGAAACGGCGAAGAGGAACCUGAAGAAGAACAACGUGCGCAUGCGCGUCUUCUCGAUGAUCACCGCUGCCGUGAACCUCCUCUAUGUCCUCGUCAUCCUCUACCGCAACGGCAGCCUGCCAUCCUUUCAUGACCUCAUGGCGAUCGGUUUCUGGGCCGGUCAAGAGUACCUCGCCUACUCGAUGCUGAGCAAGGUGGCGCAGCCCGCCAUCAGCCCGGAAGGCCAUUUACUGGACUGCAUCGACGCCUCGAAUCCGCAGGAGCUGGGCUACUAUACCUUGGCUCAGGAUGUGCUGUGGGUGUGCUGGGUGGUGCAGGCGCUGUGCAUCAUGCAUCCCGCCUUCAUUGUCUUUUACCUCCCUGUGCCGGCGACACUCAUCUACAAGGUGUGGGGCUCAGUGCUGAAGCCUUUGGUCGCCGCCUACCUCGGCGGUAGCGGCGUCGGUACUGGUGCGGAUGAAGACAGCAGCCACGGCCCCCCGCGCAAUCGCCAGGAGCGACGGAAGGAGGAGCUGAAGCAGCGCAAGGUGAUGCGACGUGGCAAGUCAGCGACAGACUGACGCGUUGGAUGGAAGGAGAGGGUACCCCGCUUCCGCCCGCCCCCCCCCUCCUCUUCCUCGCUAACCACGGACGCACCGCCCACACAUCCAGGCAGUGGUGUGCACCGGAGUACUCUUCCUGCUCAUGCACGUGUGUGUGUGCGUGUGCGUGCACGGCCAGUCCUGCCAGCACGUCAACUGCUGCUGCUAAACUUGUGACGGACGCCACCACCUCCGCUCUCCCGACGCUUUCUGUUGUACGCCACAUCGACGUGAAGGGCAACACGAAAAAAGCGAGGAAUGAAAGAAGUAGAUGAGCACACGCGCGCGCACACACAGGUGUGCUCUGCAUGUGUGUGUGUGUGUGUGGGCGUGUGGAAGGUUGUAGAGGGGAGGGAGUGGGAGGGCGAUGCGGCAGGCUGCUCUGCUGCAUGCAAUCCACUGCGUCUGUGUACACUUGUAGGCAUGUGUGGCGGUGCGACGACGCUGUGCACUCACUGUAGUCAGCUGGCACACUUGUGAUCUGGCGUACGGUGAUGUGUGUGUGUGUGUGCGUGUGUGUGUGGCGUGUUGCUCUGCUCUUCCCUUCUGCCUCAACCGCCACCACCUCAGCCACCAUCUUCUGCGGUGACAUCGUCUCUGCCACGCCUCUACUCGGCGCACAUCUCUGCCUCUGCUGUCCCUCACAAACAUUUGCUUCUUUACACAUGCACGCACACGCACACACACACACACACACAUGCACACAUGAACGCGUGCUGGAUGAUGGGGCGUUAACAG
rnacentral:misc_RNA from 1 species